rnacentral:rRNA from 1 species
UACGGGGGGGGCGAGCGUUGUUCGGAAUUAUUGGGCGUAAAGGGAGCGUAGGCGGUGCGGUAAGUUUGGUGUGAAACCUCCAGGCUCAACUUGGAGCUGGCAUCAAAUACUGUCGUGCUAGAGUGCGGGAGAGGAGAGUAGAAUUCCCGGUGUAGCGGUGAAAUGCGUAGAUAUCGGGAGGAAUACCGGUGGCGAAGGCGGCUCUCUGGACCGUAACUGACGCUGAGGCUCGAAAGCUAGGGGAGCAAACAGG